rnacentral:lncRNA from 1 species
AUGAGCCUCUGAUGCUACAACUGCUUGUUCACUAGCUUGAUUGCUAAGAGCUAGAGCCACACGCCAGUCGAUUACUUCCUCCAUUCUUGCCUCUGUCAAAGCUAUGUGUUCUUGCAACUCUCGCAGCUAUUGUGCGUGUUAGGCCUUACUUCUUUGGUGACUUCUAUAUGAAUCAAUGUGCCCAAAAGGCAAACUUCCAUGGAAUUAUUCCUUUGCCUCGGCAACGUCCAGGGUGUUCUAGAUUACCUAGUGCCAUAGUCAGCUCGUCCUUGUCUCAAUCAGGCACGAAAAAUCCUUCGGUCGUUGCCUUUAUUAAGUCAACAAGUCUCGUAGCCACUUCUCUUAAUUCUUGGCCAAACACAAAUGAUCCAUGUUCAGGAUUGAGAGUGCCACUAUGAGCAUAAUACCAAUUCUUUGCUCGCUUCGGCCAUUCGAGAGUCUGCGGUACUAUUCCCCUAGCAAUUAUGUUAUCUUCCAUCCUUUGCCAUUUCAUGAUCCCCUUGUUGUAACCUCCUGGCCCAAGACGAUGAAACUAUUUCUUCUUCUGAGCAUUGUUGGUGUUGGUUUUAGUUACCUUAGCGCUAUUUUGCAGCUGCUUGAACUGCACAAACGAAUCCCAGUAAUCUCGUAACUUUUAGUGCUUCAUGAAAUCUGAUGUAAGCCUCUUCUUUAUGUAGUUUUUGUUCAGGUUCUUCUUGUACGUCAGAAAAGCAAUUGCACCCUUCUUGAAGCUCCAAUCUUGCUUCAUCUACACCUUUGAACAUGAAAUUUUCUUUUAUCUGAUCCCAUAUUAUUUCCUUCUCUCGCUCAGGGACCACACCUAUAGGGAUUGUGCUUGUGGAAGCGAUGUUGUCAUCGAUUUCUGAGCUUUUCCAAUUCUGAAGGAUUAUUG